GAUGAACGCUGGCGGCGUGCCUAAUACAUGCAAGUCGAGCGAACGGACGAGAAGCUUGCUUCUCUGAUGUUAGCGGCGGACGGGUGAGUAACACGUGGAUAACCUACCUAUAAGACUUGGAUAACUUCGGGAAACCGGAGCUAAUACCGGAUGAUAUUUUGAACCGCAUGGUUCAAAAGUGAAAGACGGUCUUGCUGUCACUUAUAGAUGGAUCCGCGCUGCAUUAGCUAGUUGGUAAGGUAACGGCUUACCAAGGCAACGAUGCAUAGCCGACCUGAGAGGGUGAUCGGCCACACUGGAACUGAGACACGGUCCAGACUCCUACGGGAGGCAGCAGUAGGGAAUCUUCCGCAAUGGGCGAAAGCCUGACGCAGCAACGCCGCGUGAGUGAUGAAGGUCUUCGGAUCGUAAAACUCUGUUAUUAGGGAAGAACAUAUGUGUAAGUAACUGUGCACAUCUUGACGGUACCUAAUCAGAAAGCCACGGCUAACUACGUG
rnacentral:rRNA from 1 species